CGAAGCCAGUGAUUAUAUCUUCCGCAGAGGGAAGCGAUACGUGAGGCCCUACUACUUUGAGUUCAUCUCCCACGUUAAGAACAGGUGGGCCGGCAAGACUAUUGUGGAUCUCUUUGCGGAGGAGUUCAAAGG